GUGGGGAAUCUUCCGCAAUGGACGAAAGUCUGACGGAGCGACGCCGCGUGAGUGAAGAAGGCCUUCCGGUCGUAAAGCUCUGUCAUCAGGGACGAACGGCCGGUGGAGUGGAAAGCCACCGGAUUGACGGUACCUGAGAAGGAAGCCACGGCUAACUACGUGCCAGCAGCCGCGGUAAUACGUAGGUGGCAAGCGUUGUCCGGAAUUAUUGGGCGUAAAGCGCGCGCAGGUGGGAUCUUAAGUCCAUUUUGAAAGUUCGGAGCUCAACUCCGUGAUGGGAUGGAAACUGGGAUUCUUGAGUACCGGAGAGGAAAGCGGAAUUCCCCGUGUAGCGGUGAAAUGCGUAGAUAUGGGGAGGAACACCAGUGGCGAAGGCGGCUUUCUGGACGGUGUCUGACACUGAGGCGCGAAAGCCAGGGGAGCGAACGGGAUUAGAAACCCUGGUAGUCC
rnacentral:rRNA from 1 species